rnacentral:rRNA from 1 species
GGCUCAGGAUGAACGCCGGCGGUGUGCCUAAUACAUGCCCUUCGUACGCACUGGCCCAACUGAUUGUUGGUGCUUGCACCUGAUUGACGUUGGAUCACCAGUGAGUGGCGGACGGGUGAGUAACACGUAGGUAACCUGCCCCGGAGCGGGGGAUAACAUUUGGAAACAGAUGCUAAUACCGCAUAACAACAAAAGCCACAUGGCUUUUGUUUGAAAGAUGGCUUUGGCUAUCACUCUGGGAUGGACCUGCGGUGCAUUAGCUAGUUGGUAAGGUAACGGCUUACCAAGGCGAUGAUGCAUAGCCGAGUUGAGAGACUGAUCGGCCACAAUGGAACUGAGACACGGUCCAUACUCCUACGGGAGGCAGCAGUAGGGAAUCUUCCACAAUGGGCGCAAGCCUGAUGGAGCAACACCGCGUGAGUGAAGAAGGGUUUCGGCUCGUAAAGCUCUGUUGUUGGAGAAGAACGUGCGUGAGAGUAACUGUUCACGCAGUGACGGUAUCCAACCAGAAAGUCACGGCUAACUACGUGCCAGCAGCCGCGGUAAUACGUAGGUGGCAAGCGUUAUCCGGAUUUAUUGGGCGUAAAGCGAGCGCAGGCGGUUGCUUAGGUCUGAUGUGAAAGCCUUCGGCUUAACCGAAGAAGUGCAUCGGAAACCGGGCGACUUGAGUGCAGAAGAGGACAGUGGAACUCCAUGUGUAGCGGUGGAAUGCGUAGAUAUAUGGAAGAACACCAGUGGCGAAGGCGGCUGUCUGGUCUGCAACUGACGCUGAGGCUCGAAAGCAUGGGUAGCGAACAGGAUUAGAUACCCUGGUAGUCCAUGCCGUAAACGAUGAGUGAUAGGUGUUGGAGGGUUUCCGCCCUUCAGUGCCGGAGCUAACGCAUUAAGCACUCCGCCUGGGGAGUACGACCGCAA